AUAAUCAUUUGCCUCUUAAUUAGAGGCUUGUAUGAAGGAAUAAACGUGGGUAUAGCUGUUUCACUUUUUUUAAUAAAAAUUAUUUUUCAGGUGAAGAAACCUGAAUUAUUUAAAAAGACAAAAAGACCCUAUGGAGCUUUAUUUAUUAAAAGUACAUUUUAAGAAAACUUAUUUUUCCUACUUUUAUUAAAUUUUGUUGGGGCGACAAAAGAAGAUCUAAAUCUUCUUUAAAUCAAUUAGAAUACACUUCAUUUAUUUUGAUCCAUUUUAUA
rnacentral:rRNA from 1 species